CCUCCUUAAAUAUUUGAAACCUAUAAAAUUAGCUCUCUUACUCCUAUAUCUAAGUACACCCCUCUAUUUCUCUUCCUAAAUUUAUCACAAAAUCUAAACCUCACUACAUUCUUACGUCCCUCCUGUGUCCAAGAACAUUGCAAAUCUUGUUAAACCUGUGUUCUCAAACAGAAAAUUAAGUUAAAAAUAUAAGAAUAAAAAACAAAAUAUAACGAUAAAUAGUACCUCAUGUUCGUAAAGAUUUCUAAAUUGAGCGAACCUGCUAAAAAUCAAUACAACCUGCAAAAUAUUUUUAAAAUAUUGUUCAAAU
rnacentral:lncRNA from 1 species